UUCGGGUAAUCGCGGCAAAAAGAUUUGCUGAGGAAAGUCCAUGCUCGCACGGUGCUGAGAUGCCCGUAGUGAUCGUGCCUAGUGAAACAAUAAGCUAGGGCAACUUGGUUACGACUAGGUUGACGGCAGGGAAAGAGCCUAAGUCGAUUAUGAUAUGGCUUGACUACCUUGAAAGUGCCACAGUGACGAAGCCUUGGAAGAAAUGACAAGGGUGGAACGAGGUAAACCCCACGAGCGAGAAACCCAAAUUAUGGUAGGGGAACUUUCUCUAAGGAAUUCAACUUAAGAGAGAGGCAGAGGUAAUGACCUUUGCAGAUAGAUGAUUACCACCAGAGUACGAGAGUCCUUUUGGAUUUCGUUUGCAGUACGAAGGAACAGAACAUGGCUUACAG
rnacentral:RNase_P_RNA from 1 species